CACGUAGGGCGCGAGCGUUGUCCGGAAUUAUUGGGCGUAAAGAGUUCGUAGGCGGUCUGUUGCGUCCGCUGUGAAAACCCGGGGCUUAACCCUGGGCUGGCAGUGGAUACGGACAGACUAGAGGUAGGUAGGGGAGAAUGGAAUUCCCGGUGUAGCGGUGAAAUGCGCAGAUAUCGGGAGGAACACCGGUGGCGAAGGCGGUUCUCUGGGCCUUACCUGACGCUGAGGAGCGAAAGCGUGGGGAGCGAACAGG
rnacentral:rRNA from 1 species